rnacentral:rRNA from 1 species
CUUCGGUUCAGAAGAUAACAGUGUUUGCAAAAGUUAAGUGAGUUGGUGGAUAUCAGCAAGGCGAACCCUUGUUGGUAAAGAUUGGCUAGGCUAGUUUUUGUCCUUGUUUCGGCAAGGUUUGUUUAGAUAGGAUUCGCUUUGAACAAAUUAGGGUGCUCAGAACAGGCGAUCUAGCUUGAAUACAUUAGCAUGGUACGACGAAAUUGAUAGAUCUUUACUUAUGGUACAACUCUUGUAACGGGCUUUGUCUUGAGAUGGGUAGUGGUAGUGUAAAAGCUGUCGCUAUUCGUAAAGUCUUUUGUCAAAGAAACGAUAAGAGGGAGUGUAGAUUUAUAAUGAUUAACAGGAGCAAAUGGGGUAAUUCAUAUUGAAUGGGUAGAGGUGAAAUUUUAUGAUCCAUUCAAGAUGCACUACUGCGAAAGCAUUUUACCAAAAUGUUUUCAUUAAUCAAGGACGAAGGUUGUGGGCGCGAAGAUGAUUAGAUACCGUUGUAGUCACAACAGUAAACGAUGUUGAUUUAGGAUUGUGAAAAGUUAAUAUUAUGACUUUUACAGCACUAUGUGAGAAAUCAAAAUAUUUAAACUCUGGGGGAAGUAUGGAUGUAAGUUUGAAAUUUAAAAGAAUUGAUGGAAGAGUACCACCAGGCGUGGAAUUUGCGGCUUAAUUUGACCCAAUAUGGGGAAAUUUAUUAGGUUAGGAUUUAAAAAGGAUUGACAGACUGAUCGCUCUUUCAUGAUAUUAAAGAUAGUGGUGUAUGGCCGUUUUUAGUUGGUGUUUUGAAAUGUCUGGUUUAUUCUGAUAACGAAUGAGACCUCAUUCUAUUAAAUAGUUUGUGGGUUAGAGUAAGUAGAGAUUCAAUCAUUGGUUUACCAGUGGUUGAUCUCAUAGGUUUAACAUAAAAAACUUUUUAAAGAUAUUUUUUAUGUUAUAGUAAAUGGAAGAGAGACAAUAAUAGGUCUGUGAUGCCCUUAGAUAUCCUGGGCUGCACGCGCGUUACAAUGAAAUAUUCAAUGAGUUAAUCGAAUCCGAAAGGAUUGAGGAAAUUUUAUAACACAUCUCGUGAUGGGGAUUGUGUUUUGCAAUUAUCGCACAUGAACGAGGAAUGCCUUGUAUUAGCUUGUUAUCAACAAGCUAAGAAUAAGUCCCUGCUCUUUGUACACACCGCCCGUCGCUCCUACAGAAGAGUAGUAAGAUGAGGACUGUGGACUUUUGACAUUAAUGGAAAUAAUCAAUUUUAAAUUGAUCCUGAUUGAUACAGUGGAAACAUUGUACUCCUAGAGAAAUUUGUUCGAAUCUUUU